GAUCCUGGCUCAGGAUGAACGCUGGCGGCGUGCCUAAUACAUGCAAGUCGAACNCUUCACUUCGGUGAAGAGUGGCGAACGGGUGAGUAAUACAUAAGUAACCUGGCAUCUACAGGGGGAUAACUGAUGGAAACGUCAGCUAAGACCGCAUAGGUGUAGAGAUCGCAUGAACUCUAUAUGAAAAGUGCUACGGGACUGGUAGAUGAUGGACUUAUGGCGCAUUAG
rnacentral:rRNA from 1 species